rnacentral:tRNA from 1 species
GGGGCGGUAGCUCAGCUGGUUAGAGCUAGCGACUCAUAAUCGCUCGGUCCCGGGUUCGAGCCCCGGCCGCCCCA